AUUGAACGCUGGCGGCAGGCCUAACACAUGCAAGUCGAACGGUAGCACAGAGAGCUUGCUCUCGGGUGACGAGUGGCGGACGGGUGAGUAAUGUCUGGGAAACUGCCCGAUGGAGGGGGAUAACUACUGGAAACGGUAGCUAAUACCGCAUAACGUCGCAAGACCAAAGUGGGGGACCUUCGGGCCUCACACCAUCGGAUGUGCCCAGAUGGGAUUAGCUAGUAGGUGGGGUAAUGGCUCACCUAGGCGACGAUCCAUAGCUGGUCUGAGAGGAUGACCAGCCACACUGGAACUGAGACACGGGCCAGACGCCUACGGGAUGCAGCAGUGGGGAAUAUUGCACAAUGGGCGCAAGCCUGAUGCAGCCAUGCCGCGUGUAUGAAGAAGUCCUUCGGGUUGUAAAGUACUUCCAGCGGGGAGGAAGGCGGUGGAGUUAAUAACUUCACCGAUUGACGUUACCCGCAGAAGAAGCACCGGCUAACUCCGUGCCAGCCGCCGCCGUAA
rnacentral:rRNA from 1 species